AAUCCACAACCACUCACACUCACGUACGGCAGGAGCGGGGGAACCAGGUAAGCCGCCGGUCCGGAACGUUUCCGGACCGGCUUGGGGUGAAGUCGCACCGAACGUGCGACCGGGCAUCUCCAGCCCGAACCCGACAGCUCACCUCGCAGGCGACGGAGAGGAAUU
rnacentral:sRNA from 1 species